rnacentral:lncRNA from 1 species
GAAAGAAAGAGAGAGAGAGAGAGAAAGAAAGAAAGAAAGAAAGAAAGAAAGAAAGAAAGAGAUCUUCCGGCAAAUUCUGGCAGCACAAAAAUGGUGAUCGAUGGAUUGAUUUGGCGGACGAUUCGUGAAAUUGUUGUUUCAGCUGUUAAGAAGACGCAGCUGGAUUAGAGGUGAUCGAUGGAUUGAUUUGGCGGAUGAUUCGUGAAAUUGUUGUUUGAGCUGUUAAGAAGUCGCAGCUGGAUUAGAGCGGGUAAUCUCACAGGUCAGGAGAAUCAGGGCAGUGAUCGUGCGGUUUAGAGUAUUAGUAUUGGAUUUACAGCAUUUGUUUUUGUGAGGAGAAUUAUACUCAUUUGAGCUUUACAAUUUGAUUUGGUGAGAGUGUGCUGUAAUAAGUAACUUGAGGAUUUGGUUUAUGUAAUAUUAAGAGGUGUAAGGUGUGGUUGUUUCUGAG